UACGGAGGGGGCUAGCGUUGUUCGGAAUUACUGGGCGUAAAGCGCGCGUAGGCGGAUCUGCAAGUCGGGGGUGAAAUCCCGAGGCUCAACCUCGGAACUGCCUUCGAUACUGCGGGUCUCGAGUCCGGGAGAGGUGAGUGGAAUUCCUAGUGAAGAGGUGAAAUUCGUAGAUAUUAGGAAGAACACCAGUGGCGAAGGCGGCUCACUGGCCCGGUACUGACGCUGAGGCGCGAAAGCGUGGGGAGCAAACAGG
rnacentral:rRNA from 1 species